UACGUAGGGUGCGAGCGUUGCCCGGAUUUAUUGGGCGUAAAGGGCGCGUAGGCGGCUCGGCACGUCCGUUGUGGAAUCGCCCGGCUCAACUGGGCGGGGGCAGCGGAUACGGCCGAGCUGGAGCAAGCUAGGGGGUAAUGGAAUUCCCGGUGUAGUGGUGGAAUGCGUAGAUAUCGGGAGGAACACCAGUGGCGAAGGCGGUCACCUGGAGCUUUGCUGACGCUGAUGCGCGAAAGCGUGGGGAGCGAUCAGG
rnacentral:rRNA from 1 species